AGCGAGCGACGAGCGAGCCCGGGAGGGAGGGAGGGAGGGAGCGAGGGAGCGAGCAGCCGCGCCGCCGCCUCGCAAUCCGCCGCCAUCCCGCCGCCUCCGCGCCCGACCGCCGCCCGACCGCCAUCGCCCGGCCCAGUCGCGCCCGCGGAACCAGACCAGGCAGAUCGGGAGCGGUGCCGAGAAAAAUUUCCUUACUAGAUGACAUUUCAUCGCAAUGUCCGAUCGUUUGGGGCAAAUAACCAAGGGCAAGGAUGGGAAAAGCAAGUAUUCGACUCUCAGCCUGUUUGAUAAGUAUAAAGGAAAAUCAGUAGACGCGGUCAGAUCCUCAGUUAUUCCUCGACAUGGCUUACAGAGUCUCGGGAAAGUUGCCACAGCCCGGCGUAUGCCGCCACCUGCAAACCUGCCAAGCUUGAAGUCUGAAAACAGAGGAAACGACCCCAACAUCGUUAUAGUUCCCAAGGACGGAACGGGAUGGGCAAACAAGCAGGAUCAGCAAGACCCAAAGAGUUCCAGUGCGACGGGCUCUCAGCCGCCGGAGUCGCUGCCGCAGCCGGGUUUGCAGAGGCCUGUCUCCAGCUUACAGAAGCCGACACAGUCGAGCAGCCAGGAGAACACAAAUUCAGUGCCAGGUGGACCAAAGUCAUGGGCACAGCUGAAUGGAAAGCCAGCAGGACACGAAGGUGGUUUAAGGGGCUCAAGCCGACUGUUAUCCUUCUCUCCCGAGGAAUUUCCGACGCUGAAAGCAGCUGGAGGGCAGGACAAGGCUGGCAAAGAAAGGGGCGUCUUAGAUCUGUCGUAUGGGCCAGGACCAAGCCUCCGCCCUCAGAAUGUGACAAGCUGGAGGGAGGGCGGUGGGCGAAACAUAAUUUCUGCCACGUCUCUGAGCGCCUCCCCGACUGAGCUGGGCAGCAGGAACUCGAGUGCGGGAGACGGAGCCCCCUCCUCGGCAUGUACCAGCGAUUCUAAGGACCCCUCUCUCCGCCCGGCUCAGCCUGUCCGCAAAGGGGCUUCACAGUUCAUGGGAAAUGUAUACCACCCACCUACAUACCAUGACAUGCUUCCUGCUUUUAUGUGUUCGCCACAGUCAUCAGAGAACCAGGGUACCGUGGAACGAGGACCUUUCCCCCUCCCCCAGCUCCGUCUUGAGCCCCGUGUCCCUUUUAGACAGUUCCAGAUGAAUGACCAAGAUGGAAAAGAAAGCAGGCUGGGAACGACUCGGCCCAUCCGCCCGCUGAGGCAGCUGGUGGGACGGGCGCCGCGGCCCACGAUCAUCAACGCGGAAAACCUGAAGGGCCUGGACGACCUGGACGCCGACGCCGACGACGGCUGGGCAGGUCUUCAUGAGGAAGUGGACUACUCCGAGAAACUGAAGUUCAGUGAUGAUGAAGAGGAGGAGGAAGUUGGGAAGGACGGCAGGCCCAAGUGGAACAGUUGGGACCCCCGACGGCAGCGGCAGUUGUCAAUGAGCUCCGCGGACAGUGCUGAUGCUAAGCGUCCCCAAGAGGAAGGAAAGGACUGGGGUGAAGCCGUGGGUGUGGCCCGUGUUGUCCGCAAAGUGCCAGAACCUCAGCCACCUUCUAGGAAGCUUCACAGCUGGGCAUCUGGCCCAGACUACCAGAAGUCCUCGCUGGGCAGCGUGUUCCGGCAACAGUCUGUCGAGGACAAAGAGGACAAGCCACCUCCGCGGCAGAAGUUUGUGCAGUCAGAGAUGUCCGAGGCCGUGGAACGAGCCCGAAAGCGCCGGGAGGAGGAGGAGCGCCGAGCACGGGAGGAGAGGCUGGCUGCCUGUGCCGCCAAGCUCAAGCAGCUGGACCAGAAGCGUAAGCAGGCUCAGAAGGCGGGCGAGGCCCCGAAACCGGCAGAGAAGGAAGUGCCCCGAUCUCCAGGCACCGAGAAGGUGCCCCCACAGGAGAAUGGCCCUGCUGUCCGCAAAGGCUCCCCUGAGUUUCCUGCCCAGGGAACCCCCAACACGUUUUCAGAAGAAGCCCCCGCGGCUCCUCCAGCUGUGGCUCAGAGUGGCGGCAGUGAGGAGGGCGCCAGGGAGGCUGGGUCCCCUGCACAGGAGUUCAGCAAGUACCAGAAGUCUCUUCCUCCCAGAUUCCAGCGCCAGCAGCAGCAGCAACAGCAGGAGCAGCUGUAUAAGAUGCAGCACUGGCAGCCCGUGUACCCCCCACCUUCCCACCCACAGCGCACUUUCUACCCCCACCACCCCCAAAUGCUGGGCUUUGAUCCCAGGUGGAUGAUGAUGCCUUCCUACAUGGACCCACGGAUCCCGCCCACUCGGGCCCCAGUGGAUUUCUACCCGUCCGCCCUCCAUCCCUCGGGACUGAUGAAACCCAUGAUGCCCCAAGACUCCCUCGGUGGGACUGGCUGUCGCUCUGAGGACCAGAACUGCGUGCCCCCGCUGCAAGAAAGGAAAGUGGCCGCCCUCGAUCCGGCCCCCGUGUGGAGCCCAGAGGGCUACAUGGCGUUGCAGAGCAAAGGCUACUCGCUUCCGCAGCCGAAAUCAAACGACGCUUUGGCCGUGGACAUGCAUGUCAGGAAUGAAAGCUCUUACUCUGCCCCCCCCGGAAGGUCAGGGGGUGUAGGUGCCCAGCGCGAUCUCCUUGAGGAGAGAGGGGAGGAGUUCUUGAGUGCUUUUGACAAGAAGGCCCCAGCAGACUUUGACAGCUGUGUCUCUUCUCAAAGAAUAGGCCAGGAGCUUUUGUUUCCACCCCAAGAAAAUGUUCAGGAAGCGGGUGCUCCUGGGGGUCACAGCCCAGACCUCAGGUGUUCCCCACUGGAGCCCGACUUUGCCCCAGCGGAGAAAAAGCCAGAGUAUAGCAGUUGGGACGUUAGCCACCCGCCAGAGUCCACGGACACGGCCAGCGGCAUCGAGAAGGGAACACCCCGGGAGGAGCCACCCUUUAACGUCUCCUCCUGGGAGAAGGACGGGAGCCCCAACAAACAGCCGUCCCUGGAGCCCGAGUGGACUGCCGAGCCCCGGGGCCCCGGCAGCCAGCACCAGGAGCAGACCAGCAGGACGCGGAGGUCGGGACCCAUCAAGAAGCCCGUCCUGAAAGCCCUCAAGGUGGAGGACAAGGAGAAGGAACUGGAGAAGAUUAAGCACGAGCUGGGGGAGGAGAGCGCCCGAGUGGCCAAGGAGAAGGGGCCGGCUCACAAGGCAGAGAAGGACGAGGAUGAAGAGAACGACCCCACACUGGCCAACUCCUCCCCCUCCCCCUUGGAGGACCAGGGCCCUGCCCGUGCUAGUGUGGGCCGCGAGGCCAGCAGGUGUGACGAGGACGAGAAGCCGGCCAGGGCCUGGGAGGGCAGACCCUCCCGGGAGUCCAGUGACACGCCCGCGACAAAGAGGAACAAUUGGAUCUUUAUCGACGAGGAGCAAGCUUUCGGGGGCCGAGGGCAGGCCCGGGGCCGCGGCCGUGGCUUCCGAGAGUUCACCUUCCGAGGGCGGCCGGCGGGCGGUGGCCCAGGCCUCUGCGGUGGGGGGGUGCUCGGGGCGCGGGGCGUCUACGGCGGCAGCCAGAGGAGUGGCCGCGGCCGGGGGCUGCGGGACUUUGGCCAGCCGGAGGACUUCCCCAGGGCCAAGCCGCGACGGCGCAUCGCCAGUGAGACGCACAGCGAGGGCUCUGAGUACGAAGAGCUUCCCAAGCGGCGGCGGCAGCGAGGCUCGGAGAACGGGAGCGAGGGCUCGCUCCUGGAGCGGGAGGGCAGCACCCUGAGGAGGGGCGACUUCAGGGACUCCUGGCGCUCCACCAAGGCAUGCUCCGAGGACCACGGCGGCCCGGAGGCCAAGAGCCGAGGCCCUCGCGCCUUCGGCCGGGCGCUCCCUCCCCGGCUGAGCAGCUGCGGCUACGGCCGGAGAACCUUUGUGUCCAAAGAGGCCGCCCCCUGGCAGAGCAAGGGCCCGGGAGCCUCCUGGCAGGAGUACAGCUCCCCAGACACGUGCGGGUCCCGGCGACCCGCAGACAGAGACUGUGUCCCUGACGCCUACAGACAUUCUGACUCGCUUGGCGCCAGGGCCUUCGAGGACGGCCGCCUGGAGGACAAGAGGCCCUUCUUCCCCGAUGACCAUGCGGCCGACUCGGAAGGCGCCGAGAACCGGCCCUUCCGGAGAAGGCGCCCCCCGCGUCAGGACAAGCCCCCUCGCUUCCGGCGCCUCCGGCAGGAGCGGGAGUCCCUGGGCCUGUGGGGGCCGGAGGAGGAGCCGCACCUCUUGGCGGGGCCGUGGCCGGGCCGGCCCAAGCUCUGCCCCGGGGACAAGAGCGGGUCCCCCGAGCUCUCGUACCAGAACUCGUCUGAUCACGCCAACGAGGAGUGGGAGACGGCUUCCGAGAGCAGUGACUUCAGCGAGCGGCGGGAGCGGCGCGAGGGCCCAGGGGCCGAGCCCGACCCGCAGGCGGACGGCAGCCUGCCCGGGGCCGCCGCGGGUGAGAAGAAGGAGCUGGCCAAGAGGAGCUUCUCCAGCCAGAGGCCCCUGGCCGACAGGCAGAGCCGAAAGCUGGAGCCGGGGGGGUUUGGGGACAAGUCCAUUAGGCCAGGCGGUGGUGACGCCUCUCCCCGUUAUGACAGCCAACAGAAUGGGACGCCUUUGAAAGCCAAAAGGUCCCCAGAUGAGGCCUUGCCCGCGGGUCUCGGUUGCAGCAGUGGGAGCAGCCACUACGUGCUGGAGCGGGUGGCCCACGGUGCCUCCGACAUCCCCGAGGCCUCCUGUGAGACGGCGGAGGAGGCGGCCAAGCUGGUUGCUCAGAGGGCGGGCGAACAGGGAGAGACCAUGAAACAGUUUGACCUGAACUAUGGAAAUUCCAUCAUUGAAAACUGCGGGUCCAGCCCUGGGGAGGAGAGUGAGGUGGGCCCCAUGGCGGGCGAAGGCUUCAUUGAGGUCCUGACCAAGAAGCAGCGCCGUCUGCUGGAAGAAGAGAGGAGGAAGAAGGAGCAGGCCGUGCAGGUGCCUGUCAAGGGUCGAGGUCUUUCCUCCCGUAUUCCUCCUCGGUUUGCUAAAAAGCAGAACAACUUGUGCCUGGAGCAGGGUGACGUGACCGUGCCUGGCAGCAGCCUGGGCACGGAGAUCUGGGAGAGCAGCGGCCAGGCCCUGCCCGUCCAGGCCCCGGCCAGCGACUCCUGGACUAAAGCCGCAACUGCCUUCAACAGCGCCGAGCCUGGCUCCGCCGAGCAGGGUUUUAAGAGCAGCCAGGGGGAUAGCGGCGUUGACCUGAGCGCCGAGUCUCGGGAGUCGUCUGCAACAUCCUCCCAGCGCAGCUCCCCGUAUGGCACUCUGAAGCCGGAGGACAUGAACGGGCCUGGCCUGGAGCCCAAGGCUGACGGCCACAAGGAGCAGGCCCAGAAGCAGCCCGAGCCAAAGGACUCAGAUCAAGGCUCAGGACAGAGCAAGGAGCACAGACCGGGACCCAUUGGCAAUGAGCGCUCUCUGAAAAACAGGAAGGGCUCAGAGGGGGCCGAGCGGCUGCAGGGAGCCGUCGUCCCGCCCGUUAACGGGGUGGAGAUUCACGUGGACUCUGUGCUGCCGGUGCCGCCCAUUGAAUUUGGAGUCAAUCCAAAAGACUCGGAUUUCAGCUUGCCACCUGGCUCUGCCUCUGGUCCCGCAGGGAAUCCGGUCGUCAAACUUCAGGACGCCUUGGCCAGUAACGCUGGGUUAACACAAAGUAUUCCCAUCCUCCGGCGUGAUCAUCACAUCCAGAGGGCCAUCGGCCUCUCCCAAAUGUCCUUCCCCACCGCCGACCUCACCCUGAAGAUGGAGUCCGCACGCAAGGCUUGGGAAAAUUCACCCAGUUUGCCAGAGCAGAGCUCCCCGGGAGGCGCGGGCUCGGGAAUCCAGCCCCCGUCCUCUGUGGGCGCCUCCAACGGCGUCAGCUACAGCUCGUUCGGCGGAGUUUCCAUGCCGCCCAUGCCCGUGGCCUCCGUAGCACCCUCUGCUUCUCUUCCAGGCAGCCACUUGCCACCUCUGUACCUGGACGGCCACGUGUUUGCAGGUCAGCCUCGGCUGGUUCCUCAGACGAUACCUCAGCAGCAGAGUUACCAGCAGGCUGCCGCUGCCCAGCAGAUCCCGAUUUCCCUUCACACGUCUCUGCAGGCUCAGGCCCAGCUUGGACUGAGGGGCGGGCUCCCCGUCUCCCAGUCUCAGGAGAUCUUCAGCUCCUUACAGCCCUUCAGAUCUCAGGUGUACAUGCACCCCAGCCUGUCACCGCCCAGCACCAUGAUCCUCUCUGGAGGCACGGCCCUGAAGCCUCCCUACUCGGCCUUCCCAGGCAUGCAGCCCUUGGAGAUGGUGAAGCCCCAGUCCGGCUCCCCCUACCAGCCCAUGAGCGGAAACCAAGCCCUGGUCUACGAGGGCCAGCUCGGCCAGGCUGCUGGCCUGGGUGCCUCGCAGCUGUUGGACUCCCAGCUUCCACAGCAGCUGACGAUGCCGCUGCCUGGCUCCCAGCUGCCUCUGCCUCGGUACGGCUCCGGGCAGCAGCCCCUGAUUCUGCCACAGUCCAUCCAGCUGCCACAGGGGCAGAGCCUCUCUGUCGGGGCUCCCCGACGAAUCCUUCCACCUGGGUCCCAGCCUUCGGUCCUUAACACCAGCAGAGAGUCCUCUCAGAUGGAGAUGAAGGGCUUCCACUUUGCCGACAGUAAACAGAAUGUUCCUUCAGGAGGCUCCGUGCCAUCGCCGCAGACUUACAGGCCUAGCUCUGCUAGCCCCAGUGGGAAGCCCUCUGGAUCAGCAGUUAACAUGGGCUCUGUGCAGGGACACUACGUUCAACAGGCCAAACAACGAGUGGAUGAAAAACCCAGCUUGGGAGCUGUGAAACUUCAGGAGGCCCCCUCGGCCGCCUCCCAGAUGAAGAGAACCGGAGCAAUCAAGCCUCGGGCGGUCAAAGUGGAGGAGAGCAAGGCCUGAAGGUGCUUGGCCACGCCUCGCCCCCCACCUUGAGGACAGGGCCCCCGCUUGGCCUUGACAUCUCACUAGAUCCACCGUCCAACCACCUGGCCCAGACUGAGAGACCUCCCUUCUCUUCUCCACUCCUGAGAGCUCCAUCGUCCAACCGGCUUGCCCCCGUGGAUACGUGACAUUGACCUGCUCGCUUUAAUACGAAACAAGCAAGCAAGCAAACGACCCCGACCCCACGUCGUCCCUGCCUCCUUUCCACCGUGACUGUGGAGUGACUCCCACCUUCGUGCAGUACAGAUGAGCUCGCCCCCCCCCACCCCGCUCCGCCGCUGGGUCCCCAGCCUUCCCGGCCCCAGGCACAGUGGUUUGUCAGCAGGGCCAUUGUAGUUGGAGGCUUUUUGUUGUAAAAAGCAGCUGAAGUUUUUACAAAGGCGGAAGGAAAAGAAAAACAAAAACACAAGCUAUGUCUGCGUAGCUGAACUUUUCUACUUUGCCAUCCUCUCCCUCACCUCCUCCUGUUCCGGUCCUACCCUUAACCGCGUCUGCCGCUCCGCUGGUCCGUCGCUGCGAUCCCUUAACACCUGACGCAGGCGGGCGCCCCCCACCCCCCGCGCUUCCUCCGUCGGUGAACCGGUGCCGGGCCAUGCCGGGGGCGGCUGCCUGCUUGGGAGCAGCGAGAGACAGGGGAGGUGGGUCAGUGUCACGGUUGGAUUCUCGCCCCUGGCCUGAGGACCCCUGGAGUCUAGGGACAGCCCAGUGAAGCUGAUGACGAUUUUAGCAUAGGAAUUACACAGAGUCUCUGUCCUGGACCCUUCUACGGCCGGUGGACAUGCUGACCCCUGGGCACCUGAGGGAAACCACAGAGAUACACAGUCACCGGCGUUUUCCGGUGUGACCCGGACGGUGCGAGCUGACCGCGCCGCGGGGCCCCGCGGCGCCUCCGCGUCUGGGGCUCCAGCACCUGGGGGCUGCUGUUUGACCCGCACGCCCUUCUCGAAGCCUUCCGUGACAUGCCCUCCUCUUUUCUUCCUGAGCCUGUCUCUUGUCUGGAUCUUCCUGUCCUGCCAUCUUUCACCCAGCUCGUCCCCGGAGAUCGUGAGGCCCCUUCUCGUGGGGACAGGGGCGCACGGACGGUUGUCUGACUGGGUCUGCGGCAGAGGCGUGUGGCGUGCAAGGCUGCUGGGAGGGAUCCCUUUCUUUUUUCUCUUUCUUUUUUCUUUUUUGGCUCCCACUGGCAGACCCGGGUUGUUGGGACAGAGGCACUGGAGCUGGGCAGCGGGUGUCCGUCUCUGCGGACGACUGGGGCAGGGUCCCGGGGCUGGGAGGGCUGAGGGUCUGACCCUUGUUCCUCAGCAGCCUGGGGGCGGCCUUGGGGGAAGACGACAGCCUCUGAAGUCUGCAGCGAUGCCUCUGGCAAACUGUUUGUGUGAGCCAGUUUAUGCUGGUUUUUUGUUGUUUCUUCUUAAAAUAAGAACUAGAAGGAAAUCGUCCCAGGUUUUGUCAUUCCAGGGAGAGGGGAAGGGAAAUGUCAAGUAAUGCACGUGCUCUGCAGAGCAUCUAACCAGCCAGCCCGCUGGCGGCUCCUGGGAGGAUCUGGCUCAGAGGACAAGCAGCCGAGCAAGCCUGGGUUACAAGGUCAGUUGGAAAUGGCCUUUGACAACCGAGGACACUACAGAGUGCCUCUGCUUUGUCAUGGUUUGUGAUGAAUGGGAAACGCAGACUUCCGGAAAGCCAGCUCACCCUGCUUGAAAAUGAGAUGGACCUGAGACAGAGCUCACCUGGGACAGGGUGGCUCAGUGUUGGGGUCUGACACUGUCCCCUAGCCACGCCCUCCUCCAGGACCACCAGCACAUAUUUGGCUAGUGAUCUUCAGGCGCAUCUGAUCUUGCUGUUCACCAUUUCCCCACCCUGGCUGGGGGACAGUGUCCCCAGGACCCUGUGUUCAGCAUGUUAGGAAGCCUCAGAGUGGAAAUUUCUAUUAAGGCUCUGUGUGGAUGACUUUCUUCCAUUGUUUAAAGGGGAUACUGUACUCUUAAGCUUUUGACUUCAAGCCUUGUGUAGUAAAAGGGUUUGGGUUUUUUGUUGUUGUUCUUAAGAGGGUUGUGUUUUGUUUUUGUUCCCUUUUGUUUUUAUUUUGGCCUUUCCUCUCUUUGUCUUUUCAUGUAGACCAGAUAUUUGAAAGGGCAGACGAUGGCUAAAGGUGUAAUGUGCAGCUUGUUUAUACGUUUUCUGGGAAGCUUUUGCCUUGGAUGGGAAACGGAAUCAUGGAUUCAGCAGGCCAUGGUGGCACUCACCCUUUGCCCUUUCCCUCCGAUCAGUACCUAUUGUUUCUCCUUUCAAAUAUGUGAUUGUACUAGCUCUUUCCAUAUGAAAGAAUUCUCCUUAUUUAAAUAAAAAAAAAUUUAAAAAAAAACAAAAAAAA